ACUUAGCGGGAUAGCUCAGUUGGAAAGAGCAUGAGACUCUUAAUCUCAGGGCUGUGGGUUCGAACCCCACGUUGGGCA